UUCAAAUAAUUUCGGGAACAGGUAUGUAUAUUAAGGCCCUGCCUUCUUUCUUUUGGCAUGGUCCAAAUUAUACUGAAAAAACGAGCAAAUAUACAGUUUCUAUAAAUUACUCUAUUCAUAGAAAUAGUAGGGAUGUCUAUAUUCUUGAUUCCCCAUGAGAAUUAUUAUUAUCUUCUAUUCACGGGUCUCAGAAUAAUACGCAGUUGGAAAAAUUUAUCCAGAAGGAAUAUUGAGAUUAUUACGUGUUUUUUGUGCAUUUCAUACAUGUGCAUUGACCCAUGAACAGAUGGCGUUAUAUAUGCGUAUAUAUGUAAAUAUAUGUAUAUGGGAUAUGGGAAAAGGUUACGGCGUUAUAUACGCACCACCACCUAAUCAACUGGUAUAUGAUGAUGAUAUUGCCCACAGUGGCUGAAAUAUAAUUUAAAUGACAUUAUAUAUGCGUAUAUAUGUAUGUAUAUGGGAUAUGGGAAGAGGUUAUGGUAUUAUAUACGCACCAGCACCUGAUCAGCUAGUAUAUGUUAAUAAUGUAGCCCAUAGUGGCCGAGACGAUAUGAUGGGAUGCCCUUAGUGGCUUGAUGAUAUUAUGUACACCCAUACCUAUGCACGGCAUGACAUUUAUACGCAUGUGCAUGAUAUUAUAAACGUUUCAAAAUUUACCGGGUUAUUCAGAUUUAAAGGUAUUUCUGUAUUCCAUGUCUCAUCUAUGUCUUUUACGUACUUAUUUUCAUGCCUUACAUAGUACAUUUUUCGUACUGAUGCCCUAUUUCACGGGGCCUAUGUUUCAUGCCCGCAGGUGCAGGUAGGCAAGCUGACGGUCCCCCCUUCCUAGGAUCCUUGAUCAGCGAGAGUUGGCGUGCUCCACUUGAUUCGGAGCUGCUUUUGAUUUUGGUACGAUACGUUUGUGUGUGUAUAUAUAUAUAUGUAUGUAUAUGGGUAUAACGCGGCUCAGUCCCGUCUUUGUACAUUUAUGUUUCUAUUAGAGGUCUGUAGAAAGUAUGUCCAGUUGGAUAGUAUAUGGCCUUGCCGGCUUCCAGUUUUGAGAUGUAUAGUUGUCUAUAGCAGCCUUGUCGACUCGCCCUACGUAUAUCGUACGUAUAUAUGUAUGUAUGUAUGCCCUUUUUGGGCAGAUUUCCUCCAUGUACAUCUCGUAACUCAGCAGAUAUUAUACAGGUUCAUAUCAUAUACGUAUGCUUGGGGGUGUUUGAUAGGUAGGACUCAGGCACCCGUCGCGGCCCAUCGAUUUGGGUCGUGACAGCUGGACAGUAGUUCUUGGUGCUGGCCGGGCAGCAACCCUCGGCGCAGAACGAGUAGAGGGCGCCGGUUGACGGAUUGCGAGCGGAGGAUCCCUCAUUCUCCUUCCUCCUCCUCGACUUGUCAGUAAGGAGGGAUUAGAUCGUACAACGACAAAGUUUCAAAAAAGAAGACUAUGAAGCAGGGAACAAAUUAAAACUACAAGCCAACUCAGCAAUAAGAGGCUUGCACCCAAACUUCUCAUGGAAGGGCGCCCAUUCGUGAAUUCCCACCGUGUGGAGGAGAAUUGCGCUCACCCACUCACGGAUAUUGUCGACCAGCGGGGGAGGUAAUCUCUCAGCUGCAAAGACAAAACAAGUACUCAGCGAUGUCUCCUAAGGGAAGACGAUCGAUGACCGUCUUAAGAAGAAUUACAAAGUAAAGGAAAACUUACGAGCAAAGUUCCACGUCUCUGGAAAUCCAGCCGAGUCCAGCACGAGGUGCUCCAUCCGCACAUAGAAGUAGCUUUCCCAAAAGCAGCGAUUGGCCUUGUCGUCCAUCUUCACCACCAAACUCUUGGUUCCUCGAUGGCGCAUAUGGAUCAUCGUACCCCGAAGAAAAUGAGGGGCAAAGAUAUGAAGCAUGUGCCCCAGGGGAAUUCCUCGGUCGGCCAGCUCCGCGUACUUGAUGAGCAUAAGAAAGAGUUUGUACGCGUACGGGGAGAGUUGAGCCGGGCACACUUCGUAGAAUCGGCAAAAGUCCACCACCAGAGAGGGAAGAGGAAGCGUGUACCCGACAACGAAAGGGUACGCAUAAAAUGCACAGUACCCUGAACGGUGCAGAUGCACAAUAUCCUUCCCCACCGGCACCACUUCGAUAUGAGCGGGGAUUCCACACUUAGCUUUGAGUGUCAUGAUCACCGCCUCAUCCAUAGUGGAAGGAAUGGGCUCCGGCUCACUUCCUGAUGGGCUGUAAAAAUCAGUCCUCGCCUUCUCCGGACGAGGAACUAUCUCAUCCACCAUUGGAAAUCCCUCAUCUUCCACCACCUACACUCCUUCUUCGAGUAGGGAUGCGUCGUUUUCCGGCACCGGAGCACCAACAGCUUUGUCGGAUUAGGAAGAAGUACUAUCCAUUUGUCUCUCUUGAUCGAAGUAAACUAGAAUGGUGAGGGAAAAGAUAUAAUGGUCACUUAAAAUUCUAUCAAAAGCGGAAUUAUGAAAGACCAGAGGAAGUUUGCAAAGUUCUUUCUCAGGUAAAUUGAAAAACACAACAAUCAAAUAAAGGAUUCCCCCUAUUUAUAGGAACAUAAAUGUCCUGAGCGGAAAAUCCAAGAGCCGCCAAUCAAAAAACUAAAAGGGCACGGGAAACGAUAUGGUGCCUAGGAAACGUGCGCCAUAAUGAUGCAUAAUGGGUAUUAAUGGUACCCCGAAUCGAUGCGACGAUCCAACUCUGAACUAACGUAACGGUCCAAUAAUACCCCUGAAGUGUCACGUCGCCACCUCGCCUUAAGGACCUCGUUCCACGCAUAAUGUUCAGAUUUUUCCUAACUUUUGAAUCAACAGAAUCUACCCAUUGAGCUCGCCAAAAGGCGACCCCGACGGGCGGAGGAACUAAUUGUAUGGGCUAAAAUCUGGCCACAAGAUGGUUGUCCUUAAAAAGAACGAUAAGGGGUCGACAAGUCGUAGUCGUGCCCACGAGGCGUGAUAGCAAUGAGCGUCUCGGCCACUGCCGAGAUCGAGCCGUCAGAAAGCUUACACCGCAGAACAUAUGUCGUAAUAUGUGGGCGAGUAAGGAAGAGUACAGUCAUGAGAGGUACGCUGGUUAAAGACCGAUGGAUAAAGAAAAAAAUUGGUAAGUACAUAUAUAUAUAUAUAUAUAUAUAUAUAUAUAUAUAUAUAUAUAUAUAUAGGGGCNNNNNNNNNNNNNNNNNNNNNNNNNNNNNNNNNNNNNNNNNNNNNNNNNNNNNNNNNNNNNNNNNNNNNNNNNNNNNNNNNNNNNNNNNNNNNNNNNNNNNNNNNNNNNNNNNNNNNNNNNNNNNNNNNNNNNNNNNNNNNNNNNNNNNNNNNNNNNNNNNNNNNNNNNNNNNNNNNNNNNNNNNNNNNNNNNNNACAUUUCCUUCUUUGCUCUUACAAGUGCGAAACAAUGAAUCAAAGAUGUAAGCUUAUUAUUCAUAUUUGAUGCCUGUUAAUUAUCUUGAGGAAUGUUAUACAAGCUUGGCCUCCUUCGAUUUUGAUAUUCAAUAUGUUUGGAUCUAGAGUUAAUUAUGUUUGGCUAGGAUUUACCCUCCAUUUCUCUAUUAAUUAGUUUAGCCUAAAAGGUUCAACACUUUUUUGGUCAAACAACCACUUCAAACAACUUUAAGGGGCUCAUAUGACUCCCGCAAAGUUUAGGUGCUCAACUGAGAAAUUCAAAUAAGUACAUAGUGGUAUUUAUGUAUUAUCCCUAAAUUAAAAGUAGAAAUGACACCAGGUAGCCACUAUAAAGGGCUGCUAUUUAUAAAUUAGUAGUGCGUCCUGAAUUUCAAUUUUUCAGGACAAAAGCAUCUUGAAUUAUCCUGAAGUUAAUAUUUUUAGUUUAAAAUUUCAGGACGGCUAAUCUCUAAAUAGUAUCCCUUAGAAUGGCUAUUUGUGCACUUGCCCAAUGGGGGAGUAUAUCUUAUUCAGGAAACAUUGUUGACAGCCACAUUUUGCUUUAUUCUGUAAUACGCUCAAAAUAGUCUCAUUCUUUGAACUCACCUUGCUUAUUUAAUUAAUAAGUCAAACUACUGGUAACUUUAGUGAAGUAAUUUCUCCGUCGCUUAUCUCUGUCGGAAAAUGGAAUAAGAAAAAAAUCUAGUUUGUUCCUGGUUUCCUCCUUUGAAUUGUAGUAAAUUAAACAAACCUGAAGUGAUCCUGGGAACAUAGUUUCAUAGUAACAAACAACCAUAUUAUGCUGGGAGAUCCAUGGACAAAAUCUCGUUUGUAUUGUCAUAUUGUGAUGUGUGGAUUGUGACAGAGGAGUUUGAGACCUGAAAAGUGCUUAAAAGCAUGGAAAUGAAACAACUCAUCCAGUAUCUUGGAGAAAAGCAUUACAAAUUUACAAUCAAGAAACUACUAGUUCUAUUUCAAAUGCAAAAACUGCUUAUAACACACAUGCAUAAAAUAUUUCAACUUUUUUGAUAACCUAUCUCAAACUAUUGUAUAUACCCUGAAUCAAUCAGGUGGAUGAGUUUUGAAUUGUACAAAUUGAAGCAUAUGUUCAUGUUAUUAUACAGUUGCUGGGGUAGGUACAACAGGAGCAACUCGGUUUUCAGCAGGAAUUUCAACAAAUUCUGAGAGAAUAGCGCGGAAUUCAUCUCCAGUCAUCGUCUCCUU
rnacentral:lncRNA from 1 species